UACGUAGGGUGCGAGCGUUGUCCGGAAUUAUUGGGCGUAAAGGGCUCGUAGGCGGUUUGUCGCGUCGGGAGUGAAAACCUCGGGCUUAACUCGGGGCCUGCUUUCGAUACGGGCAGACUAGAGGUAUGCAGGGGAGAACGGAAUUCCUGGUGUAGCGGUGAAAUGCGUAGAUAUCAGGAGGAACACCGGUGGCGAAGGCGGGUCUCUGGGCCGAUACUGACGCUGAGGAGCGAAAGCGUGGGGAGCGAACAGG
rnacentral:rRNA from 1 species